CCGGGGAGAAGUACGGUGAGCCUGUCAUUAUUCAGAGAGGCUAGAUCCUCGGUGUUGAGAAGGAUCAUGAUAGGCUCCUCGGUGUUCUCCAGG
rnacentral:pre_miRNA from 1 species